GACGAACGCUGGCGGCGUGCUUAACACAUGCAAGUCGAACGGAAAGGCUCCAGCUUGCUGGAGUACUCGAGUGGCGAACGGGUGAGUAACACGUGGGUGAUCUGCCCUGCACUUCGGGAUAAGCCUGGGAAACUGGGUCUAAUACCGGAUAGGACCGCACUUUGGUGUGUGUGGUGGAAAGGUUUUUCUGGUGUGGGAUGAGCUCGCGGCCUAUCAGUUUGUUGGUGGGGUAAUGGCCUACCAAGACGGCGACGGGUAGCCGGCCUGAGAGGGUGGACGGUCACAUUGGGACUGAGAUACGGCCCAGACUCCUACGGGAGGCAGCAGUGGGGAAUAUUGCACAAUGGGGGAAACCCUGAUGCAGCGACGCCGCGUGGGGGAUGAAGGCCUUCGGGUUGUAAACUCCUUUCGCUAGGGACGAAGCUUUUUGUGACGGUACCUGGAGAAGAAGCACCGGCUAACUACGUG
rnacentral:rRNA from 1 species